CCUACGGGUGGCAGCAGUGGGGAAUAUUGGACAAUGGGUGAAAGCCUGAUCCAGCCAUGCCGCGUGUGUGAAGAAGGCCUUCGGGUUGUAAAGCACUUUCAGUGGGGAAGAAAGCCUUGGGGCUAAUACCCUCGAGGAAGGACAUCACCCACAGAAGAAGCACCGGCUAACUCCGUGCCAGCAGCCGCGGUAAUACGGAGGGUGCGAGCGUUAAUCGGAAUUACUGGGCGUAGAGCGCGCGUAGGCGGUCUGAUAAGCCGGUUGUGAAAGCCCCGGGCUCAACCUGGGAACGGCAUCCGGAACUGUCAGGCUAGAGUGCAGGAGAGGAAGGUAGAAUUCCCGGUGUAGCGGUGAAAUGCGUAGAGAUCGGGAGGAAUACCAGUGGCGAAGGCGGCCUUCUGGACUGACACUGACGCUGAGGUGCGAAAGCGUGGGUAGCAAACAGGAUUAGAUACCCUUGUAGUC
rnacentral:rRNA from 1 species